CCCGCGUGGGCAACACGAGCAUCCUCGAUACUGGACGUAGGGCCUCUUUUGCCCGAACCAGUCUAACCCCGUGUCUCCCACGCCACCAUCCGAAGCCUUACGCGCAUAAAAGAAAUUUACUAGUCUAAGUCUUGAUCCGCAAAUCUUGACAACGACAGUUGGCGCGCCAGGUAGGGGACCUUUGCACGUACAUCUCCAGCUUCAGAUGGCCAACCAC
rnacentral:lncRNA from 1 species